GACGAACGCUGGCGGCGUGCCUAAUACAUGCAAGUCGAACGCUUCUUUCCUCCCGAGUGCUUGCACUCAAUUGGAAAGAGGAGUGGCGGACGGGUGAGUAACACGUGGGUAACCUACCCAUCAGAGGGGGAUAACACUUGGAAACAGGUGCUAAUACCGCAUAACAGUUUAUGCCGCAUGGCAUAAGAGUGAAAGGCGCUUUCGGGUGUCGCUGAUGGAUGGACCCGCGGUGCAUUAGCUAGUUGGUGAGGUAACGGCUCACCAAGGCCACGAUGCAUAGCCGACCUGAGAGGGUGAUCGGCCACACUGGGACUGAGACACGGCCCAGACUCCUACGGGAGGCAGCAGUAGGGAAUCUUCGGCAAUGGACGAAAGUCUGACCGAGCAACGCUGCGUGAGUGAAGAAGGUUUUCGGAUCGUAAAACUCUGUUGUUAGAGAAGAACAAGGACGUUAGUAACUGAACGUCCCCUGACGGUAUCUAACCAGAAAGCCACGGCUAACUACGUG
rnacentral:rRNA from 1 species